GUCCAGCUGAAGAGUCUCAAAUAGGACGAAACGCGCGUCAAACUGGAU
rnacentral:hammerhead_ribozyme from 1 species